rnacentral:lncRNA from 1 species
AACAUACGUGUGCAUGUGUCUUUAUAGCAGCAUGAUUUAUAGUCCUUUGGGUAUAUACCCAGUAAUGGUAUGGCUGGGUCAAAUGGUAUUUCUAGUUCUAGAUCCCUGAGGAAUCGCCACACUGACUUCCACAAUGGUUGAACUAGUUUACAGUCCCACCAACAGUGUAAAAGUGUUCCUAUUGAAGAAGAUUUUCAAUAUAUGAAUUUUAGGGGGACAUAAACUUUCAGCCUGUAGCAGGCAAUGUAAAACGACAUGGAUAAAACUUGAAGAAAUUAUGCUAAGUGAAAAAUGCCAGGUAUUGCAGCACAAAUACUGCAUCAUUUUGCUCAUGUGAAGUAUUUAAAAUAAUCAAACUCAUAGAAGCAGAGAAUGGAAUGGUGCUUACCAGAGGUCAGGAGGGAAAGUUUUCAUCCAGUGGAUAUAAUGUUUCAUUGAUGGAAGAUAAAUAAGUACUAAAAAUCUGCUGUAUAUCAUCGUGUCUAUAAUUAAAAGCACUGUAUUAUGCAUUUUAAAAAUUUGUCAAGAGGGUGGAUCUUGUGUUAAAUCUUCUUGACAAUUUCUUUAAAGUAAAACUCUGUUGGCAUAUUUUAUAGUGUUGUGUUUGAAAGCAUAUUUCCGACAGAACAGAAACUUCAUCAACAUAGUAGCUUUAAUGAAAGACUUGAUACAUAAAAAUAGUCAACAAUUAAAUCUAACAUAAAACAUCUACUCCUCAGGUACACUAAUCAUAUUUAUGUGUACUGAAAUAUUUUCUGCUUUUAAAAUGACCACACACACACAUAUACACACAGACAUACAGUAAGAGUUAUAGUAGUAAUUAGUAUCAGCAAUAUGUUUAAUCUACAUGGAAUGAUGGAAGGAGCUUUGGGAAAUAUUUACAAGAUUAGUGCAAUCAAGUAUAUAUUUGAAACAUCAAGCUGAAGUAGUGUGGAGUAGUCCCGGGGGGUAAAGGGAAGACAACAACUGGAAGAGACCCAUGCAUUUUUGCCAAAGGAAAACCUGCCAUAAACAUCAAGAUUGAAUAGCAGGUUUAGAAAUGAAGGUGAUUUGUACUACAAUUGGAGAGGCAUAAACCUUUAACAUGGCCUGGUGGAAGUGGUGUUUAGAAAGCUUCUCACACAGUCUCAAUUUCUUCCCCUCCCUUCCAUAUUAUACUCAUAGAAAAGAAUUCCCUGUGUUCAGAUUAUACUUAAAGAGUUAGAAUUUAUACUCUGAAACCUGAUGGGCGCAGUGUUUACAUAAAUUAUUUGAAAUUCUUCUGUAUAGGAAAUUUGUUUAUCUUCCUCCGUUUAUUUGCAUAGUCAAUCAUGCAUUUAUAUCAGUAUAAACUCUUGGAUACUUAUUUUAUAUUUUGGUCAAGGCUUCUGUAACCAAUACCUAAAAAUGUGAAAGUGGCUUUAAACUGGGUAAUAGGUAAAGGCUUGAGAAUACUGAGGGCAGGAUCACUGCCCCGUUGGUUCUGGAAGGAGAACACCGAACCAAGGAUUAUUCUCAAGACUUGAAAUCUAAUGAAACUUGCUUUGCUAAGUUUUGAACUUGCUUAGAACCUAUCACCCUUUUCUUGCAUCUAAUUUAUCCCUUUUAGGAUAAGAAUGUCUAUCCUAUGCCUGUUCCACAGUUGUAUUUUAAAAGCAUACUACUUUUCUGAUGUCACAGGUUCACAGCUGUAGAG